rnacentral:rRNA from 1 species
AAAGCCCACCAAGGCUAUGACGAGUAGCGGGUGUGAGAGCAUGGCCCGCCUCACUGGGACUGAGACACUGCCCAGACUCCUACGGGAGGCUGCAGUCAAGAAUAUUCCGCAAUGGGCGAAAGCCUGACGGAGCGACGCCGCGUGCCAGAAGAAGCCCUUCGGGGUGUAAAUGGCUUUUCUGAGGGACGAAUCCGUGACGGUACCUCAGGAAUAAGGGGCUGCUAAACUCGUGCCAGCAGCAGCGGUAAUACGAGUGCCCCAAACGUUACCCGGAUUUAUUGGGCGUAAAGGGUCCGCAGGCGGCCUUAUAAGUCAUUUGUCAAAUCUUCAGGCUCAACCUGAAGUCUGCGAAUGAUACUGUUAGGCUUGAGGACGGGAGAGGUAAGCGGAAUUGCUGGUGUAGGGGUUAAAUCCGUUAAUAUCAGCAAGAACACCGAAGGCGAAGGCAGCUUACUGGAACGUUCCUGACGCUCAUGGACGAAAGCGUGGGUAGCGAAAGGGAUUAGAUACCCCUGUAGUCCACGCCCUAAACGAUGAAUGCUAGAUAUUGGAAGUAUCGACCCUUCCAGUGUCGUUGAACCAAGCUAACGCGUUAAGCAUUCCGCCUGGGGAGUACGGCCGCAAGGCUAAAACUCAAAGGAAUAGACGGGGACCCGCACAAGCGGUGGAACAUGUGGUUUAAUUCGACGAUGAGCGAGAAACCUUACCUGGACUUGAAAUCUAGCUGCAAGAUCUAAGAAAUUAGAUCCGCCUUCGAGGGUGCUAGACAGGUGCUGCAUGGUUGCCGUCAGCUCGUGCCGUGAGGUGUACCCUUAAGUGGGGUAACGAGCGCAACCCCUGUCCUGUGUUAUACUUACACAGGAGACUGCCUUCGCAAGAAGGAGGAAGGUGGGGACGACGUCAAAUCAGCAUGGCUCUUACGUCCAGGGCCACACACAUGUUACAAUGGCCGGUACAACGGGUUGCCAAGCCGUAAGGCGGAGCUAAUCCCAAAAACCGGUCCCAGUUCGGAUUGAGGUCUGCAACUCGACCUCAUGAAGCCGGAAUCGCUAGUAAACGUGCAUCAACACGGCGCGUUGAAUACGUUCUCGGGUCUUGUACUCACCGCCCGUCACGUCAAGAGAGUCGGGGGCACCCGAAAGUCGUUGUAGGACGGCUGAAGGUGAAUUCGAUGAUAGGGACGAAGUCGUAACAAGGCAUCCGUAGCGGAAGCUGUGGAUG